rnacentral:rRNA from 1 species
AGAGUUUGAUCAUGGCUCAGAACGAACGCUGGCGGCAUGCCUAACACAUGCAAGUCGAACGAGACCUUCGGGUCUAGUGGCGCACGGGUGCGUAACGCGUGGGAAUCUGCCCUUGGGUUCGGAAUAACAGCGAGAAAUUGCUGCUAAUACCGGAUGAUGACGUAAGUCCAAAGAUUUAUCGCCCAAGGAUGAGCCCGCGUAGGAUUAGCUAGUUAGUGAGGUAAAGGCUCACCAAGGCGACGAUCCUUAGCUCGGUCUGAGAGGAUGAUCAGCCACACUGGGACUGAGACACGGCCCAGACUCCUACGGGAGGCAGCAGUGGGGAAUAUUGGACAAUGGGCGAAAGCCUGAUCCAGCAAUGCCGCGUGAGUGAUGAAGGCCUUAGGGUUGUAAAGCUCUUUUACCCGGGAUGAUAAUGACAGUACCGGGAGAAUAAGCCCCGGCUAACUCCGUG